CCUUAGCGCUGGAUCGCGGCCGCCGCCGUCGCCAGCCUUGGGCGGGGCCAACGCCGCGUCUCCAAGGCAACCGGACGCCUGCAGGACGUCGAGCUAGACGCUCGCGCGGGAUUGGGUAGAGUGCCCGGCUCUCGCCCUCGCACUUAGCGACACCUGCUUCGCCCCUCUUCAAAGCCGUCGCCACCCGAGCAUCGUCUUGUUUAUAAACGGUACGGUGGACAACAUGCAGUGAUAACGGGACACAAGAAUGUGCUGCAACAACUACGGAACCCUAACAUUACAGGACGAGCAAGGCCCAGUUGAAUGGUAGUGUGUGUGACAAGCUUUGGGCUGGCACUUUGGCUCUCCUGUUACUAAUAGCGAUGGCAUGGCAUCAGCAGAACUGAAACGCACAGAGCAGAGCGGACGGGGCUGAGAGCUACACCCUCGGGUGCCUGUUAGACAUGGACGUCGAGGCCUAAAGGAGAGUGACAUCAGCAGGCUGGGGCUGUGGAACCUCAGAAAUGACUGCUGAGAAAUGACUAAAACUUCUGAG
rnacentral:lncRNA from 1 species